UACCGGAUACGAGACAAGACGGCAUCGUCAUUGUCUGGAAAGAUUUUUGGUCUGGGAUGGGCUCGCGGCCUAUCAGCUUGUUGGUGAGGUAAUGGCUCACCAAGGCGUCGACGGGUAGCCGGCCUGAGAGGGUGACCGGCCACACUGGGACUGAGACACGGCCCAGACUCCUACGGGAGGCAGCAGUGGGGAAUAUUGCACAAUGGGCGAAAGCCUGAUGCAGCAACGCCGCGUGAGGGAUGACGGCCUUCGGGUUGUAAACCUCUUUUAGCAGGGAAGAAGCGAGAGUGACGGUACCUGCAGAAAAAGCGCCGGCUAACUACGUGCCAG
rnacentral:rRNA from 1 species